GAGUGGAGGUGUCUAUGUGACUGCAUUAGUCUGUAGCACAAGAGCAGAUGACCUACUCCUGGUUCUGAAGUUCUUCUGCCCUAGCAUGAGAUAACAUCUAGUUGGAGUAUUGUCUCUAUGUUGGAAGCUCGUGGAACACAGCUCAGAGCCCUCACAACAAAGGAAGGAUCUGUGACAAUGGGAACAAAGACAUCACACCCUCCAUUGGCUUCUAGCUGCCUUGCAUUUUGCCCCACCCAGCCACACGUCGUAAUUAGUCAUGGGUUAUUUGGCCAUUGCAGACGUUUUUCUUUAAGUGUGGGCCAACAUCCCUUUUGGUGAACCUAUCUGAGAGUUGUGGUUUCUUGAUUAAAUUUAUUUCUUUCGAA
rnacentral:lncRNA from 1 species